rnacentral:sRNA from 13 species
GGUGAAAACAUGAUGUAGUUUUCCUCCUUCACAGGUUCGUUCCAAGCCAAGCGAACCUGCUUUUUUUAUGCAAUU